rnacentral:rRNA from 1 species
GGUAACCUGCGGAGGGAUCAUUACUGAGCGAGGGCGCGAGCCCGACCUCCAACCCCAUGUUUUUCAACCAUGUUGCCUCGGGGGCGACCCGGCCACCGCGCCGGGGCCCCCGGCGGACCCCUCAACUCUGCAUCUCUGCGUCUGAGUCACAAAAUAAAAUCAAUCAAAACUUUCAACAACGGAUCUCUUGGUUCUGGCAUCGAUGAAGAACGCAGCGAAAUGCGAUAAGUAAUGUGAAUUGCAGAAUUCAGUGAAUCAUCGAAUCUUUGAACGCACAUUGCGCCCUCUGGUAUUCCGGAGGGCAUGCCUGUUCGAGCGUCAUUACACCACUCCAGCCUCGCUGGGUAUUGGGCGCCGCGGCCUCCGCGCGCCUUAAUGUCUCCGGCCGAGCCGACCGUCUCUAAGCGUUGUGGCACAACUGUUUCGCUUUCGGGACCGGUCUGGCGACGCGCCGUUAAACCCUUUCACCAAAGGUUGACCUCGGAUCAGGUAGGGAUACCCGCUGAACUUAAGCAUAUCAAUAAGC